AGCGCUCGCUAGGGGUCCUGGGCGGCCGCACGGGGUGUGCGGCGGUGCCGGGUGAGAGAGUCCCUCCGAACCUGAUGCGGGUAAUGCCGCCGAAGGGAAGCCGACAUGAACGCCA
rnacentral:ncRNA from 1 species